rnacentral:rRNA from 1 species
GGUUAAUUGAAGAUGUGCAAGCAUCGGAUCGAAGCCCCAGUAAACGGCGGCCGUAACAAUAACGGUCCUAAGGUAGCGAAAUUCCUUGUCGGGUAAGUUCCGACCUGCACGAAUGGCGUAACGAUGGCGGCGCUGUCUCCACCCGAGACUCAGUGAAAUUGAAAUCGCUGUGAAGAUGCAGUGUAUCCGCGGCUAGACGGAAAGACCCCGUGAACCUUUACUAUAGCUUGACACUGAACAUUGAGCCUUGAUGUGUAGGAUAGGUGGGAGGCUUUGAAGUGUGGACGCCAGUCUGCAUGGAGCCAACCUUGAAAUACCACCCUGGCAACUUUGAGGUUCUAACUCAGGUCCGUUAUCCGGAUCGAGGACAGUGUAUGGUGGGUAGUUUGACUGGGGCGGUCUCCUCCUAAAGAGUAACGGAGGAGUACGAAGGUGCGCUCAGACCGGUCGGAAAUCGGUCGUAGAGUAUAAAGGCAAAAGCGCGCUUGACUGCGAGACAGACACGUCGAGCAGGUACGAAAGUAGGUCUUAGUGAUCCGGUGGUUCUGUAUGGAAGGGCCAUCGCUCAACGGAUAAAAGGUACUCCGGGGAUAACAGGCUGAUACCGCCCAAGAGUUCAUAUCGACGGCGGUGUUUGGCACCUCGAUGUCGGCUCAUCACAUCCUGGGGCUGAAG